rnacentral:rRNA from 1 species
GAUGAACGCUGGCGGCGUGCCUAAUACAUGCAAGUCGAGCGAACAGACGAGGAGCUUGCUCCUCUGACGUUAGCGGCGGACGGGUGAGUAACACGUGGAUAACCUACCUAUAAGACUGGGAUAACUUCGGGAAACCGGAGCUAAUACCGGAUAAUAUAUUGAACCGCAUGGUUCAAUAGUGAAAGACGGUUUUGCUGUCACUUAUAGAUGGAUCCGCGCCGAAUUAGCGAGUUGGUAAGGUAACGGCUUACCAAGGCAACGUUGCGUAGCCGACCUGAGAGGGUGAUCGGCCACACUGGAACUGGGACACGGUCCAGACUCCUACGGGAGGCAGCGGUAGGGAAUCUUCCGCAAUGGGCGAAAGCCUGACGGAGCAACGCCGCGUGAGUGAUGAAGGUCUUCGGAUCGUAAAACUCUGUUAUUAGGGAAGAACAAAUGUGUAAGUAACUAUGCACGUCUUGACGGUACCUAAGCAGAAAGCCACGGCUAACUACGU